GCAAAUAUUUGAUAUGCAGGAUAUCUGAGAAGUGACCACUGUACAAAGGUUGUUUGAUGCCCCCAAAGAGGUCAAGACCCACAGGUUGAGAACUGCUGGAGUAUACCCAAAUGCACAGCAAGAAUAUUUUCCUUUUGGGUCCUAAGGUGAGCGUUCUCUACUGCAUCAGAGUCUGUGAAUUCUUCCAUAUCACAUCAUUGAUGUUGCCAUUUCCCAGCACCAGACAUGACAGCCAGUGUAACAACAAAGAACUCAUAGCCCUUGCUAGUGAAUCACUUUAAGGCCGUGAGUAUCCUCUUACAGAAGUGGCAUCGUUUGGGAGACUGACUAAAGCAUAGAAUCUUGUGAAACAAUUGAAGUCAAGAAUGAUAGUGGACAGAAAUGACAGAAGUGACAUUUCUAGAGCACACCAUGUCCUUGCCUGUGAGUCUGAGGUGGCAUUGCUUCUCAGCUCUAUUGCUGUGUAGCUGCAAGGCCUUCUGUCUUGGUUUCUCAUCUGUAUAGCAUUGUUGAAGCAUAUGAGCUCCAAGCUUUCUUCCAGGUUCCAAAUCUAUAAUUUUAGUGCUAGUCUGCUUUGCAUAUGUUCAUUUUGUGAAGAAUGGGAGUUCUCAGAACUUGAACCAUGGAAGGAUUUAAGGACCUGGGAUUAGUGGAAGGGUGGCUGUUCCUCAAACAGAAAGCUACUCCUUUGUUUUGCAUAACCAAUAUGGAAUUCAUUGCUGACAUUUAAUCACCAGCAUCUGCCUGAUAAGUGGAAUUAUGAUUUCUUCUCUUUCUUCCCAAGCCUCAGUGAGAAACAGUCAUCCCAUGGGGAAGCAAGGGGAACUUUUUGGAAUAAUGAAAAGUUUUCGGCAUAACAUGAAAGAAAUGAAAUAUGUUGUGUCUUUGGGCUUUAUAAUAUUGAUAGAAUCUUUUCAGAAGAGAAACUUAUGUACAACACAAACAGAAGACAUUCUAUAGCUGAGCAAAAUUCUUUAGUUUUUGUCACAAGGGUAAUUAGUGAUUCUAGAUUAUUAGUCAAUGUUAUGGGUUGAACAAGACAUGUCUCCUCACCCACAAAUAGGGUCAUGUAUUUGUCUUCUGGGACCCUAGCAGAUGGUGUUAUUUGGGAAAGAUUGGCACCAUUAUUGUGGGAAGAGGUAUUUUGCUGGGGGUGGCUCUUGAGGUUUUAUAAGUUGUCCAGGAUUUGUUUUUUCUUGGGUUCUGGACUGCUGAUUCAAUGUGAUGGUCUAGUUUCAUGUUCCUUCCACCAUGCUUUCCUUACUAUGAUGUAUUGUAUUGAUUGUAUUCCCUUGGGAAUUGUACGCCACAAUAAGCCCUUUCUCCUGUAAGUUGCUUCUACCAGGGUAUUUUUUAUCACAGCCACAGAGAAGUAACUAAUAUAGACAGGAAGCUCAGAACAACAGAUGAUAUAAAAUAAUAGUAACACGAGAUUUUAUGCUGUAAAUUAUUUCUAUGUUGGAAAAACUAAGAUUCAAAUGGACUUUCACACACUUAUGCAAUGUAUAACCCAAGGACUCUGACCCUAAUGUCCAGUCCACUGCAAUAUACACACAUGUGUAUGCUCAUGUAUGUGUGUUUGUGGGGUCAUGUAUACAUGUGUAUGUAUAUGUGUAUAUAUAUGUGUGUGUGUGUGUAAGAAUGUGUGUGCAUUGCCUUUGUAAGAGUAUAUGCUAGUAUAUAUACAUGUCUGUGUGUUCCUUUGCUCAUGCACAUAUUAAUGAGAGCAUCUGUGACUAUAUGUGUGUGACUGCAUUUAUGUAUGAGCAUUUAGACGUGUGUACUCUAUAUUUAUGUGUAUAUUAGCACUUUCUACCUGAACUGAUGUCAAAAGACUACGAUCUGCCUAUGUUUUCAGAUUAGGUAUUGAUGCUCAAGUUGUAGUACAGCUUGCAUCAGAUUUGCAUACAGACAAAGCACUUGCAUAUGAUUGCUAGGGGUAAGGAAAAUGGAGAAAUAGAAAUAAAGCCCUAGGUACUCUUGGGCUGUGUCUCUACUCUACUAGGCAAGUCUGGUUCUGUUCUACACUUGCCUGGACGAAGCAUGUGUUUUAGAAAUAUGUACAAGUGUGGGUUAAACAGACAUGGAGACACUUCUAGCAUGUCCCCAGGGCAAGUGUUUGUGAAAGGAAUGCAAAAUGAAUAACAAAUGUAUUCUGGGAAUGGGAACUUCCAAGGCUCUGUGGCUCAGUUGUAUUGUGAUACUCUUUCUGGUUUUAGAUUUUUAGAGAGGUUCAUCCAGGGCUAAUUUCUAUUCCCAAGGUAGAAAAAUGAUCUCUCAUAUUUGCCUGUGAGUAGGCACCCAGGCUGGCUUUGGAACAAAUGUUCAGGAUUGGGAAUUCUGAAUUCUGGCAGGCCCACGUUUGUAUUUUAACAUCUCUGUGCCACUGGUAAAGUUGCUUAUCUUUUCCAAAUUAUAUUUCUCUCAUCUGUGUGAAUGAGUUAAUUUUACCCACAAAUGCUUAGCUUGUUAAUGAGGAUAUUGGUACAAAUUAUGGUUUCUUAAAACAAAACAAAACAAAACAAAACAAAACAAAACAAAACAAAAUCCCAGGUUUUAGUAGCAAUGUUAAACUGGCUUCUUGAUGUGAGUUCAGGGAAAUUUUUUUCCUUGAAUGUUUUGGAGGAGUUUCCUUCAGGUUGAAAGUGUGAUUUUUUUCCCUUUCCUAAGAAUAUGAUAGAAUUUAGAACCCUGUAUAUCAACACAGAAAUUAUUUCCAAUUUACUAUACAUUCACACAUUUCUAUACAUGACUUGUUGUAAAACGGGCAAACAAAAAAUAAAGCCCGAUCUUUUCUCCUUUUGGUAGCAAAUUUAAUACUUCCCUCAGGGUGAGUGCGGUUGAGGUAGACAGCCAGUGUCGAUAUGCUCUGUCUGCCUGGGGUAAGACUGACAUAGGCUGCUUCUACCACCUUAUGUGCUGACAUGGAGUCCUGCAUGAAAUUACCACAUGUUCAACAAAUGUCUAUGAAAGCUGAGACUCAGGGACGUCAAAGCAGCUGACAAAGAUCACAGCUAAUAGGCUACAGAACAAAAGCCCGGGCUCCAACUCGGCUAAUUUGAAUCAAAUCCCAUGAUGUUUCCCCCCUUCCCAACUAGAACGUCUGAGUUCAGGGAGUCAGUCACACUGCACCCUCUGUUGGUGGCACGGUCUUCUUCUUAGCUGCCAUAGCAGGUGCUGGGACAUAGAUUUAGAAAGUGACCUCUGUGUCAAUCACUCAGAAAUCGAUUUGGUUUCACUGUGUAUUUUUGAGGCUCUUGUGCAAGACCACCUGAAAGACAAACAGAUGAACAAACAAGGGUCUGGGUGAAUUUAGAAAGCCUUAGCCAGGAAGAAAUUCACCCGAGAAAGAUGGGAGGAUCAAAAGGAGCACCCGUCUCCAGCUCAAUGUGGAGCCAGAGCCCAUAACUUCCAUUGGUGUCUGGCCAGCUAAGGACAGUCUCCUCUGUGAAGCAGAGAAUGUAACAGUGCUUUUGAAGUCUGGCAGCUCACUAAAGUGGACUGGAAAAGUUAACAGUACAGGAUGACACUGAUGCCUGAGUCUCAAGCAGUUAAAUCAGAACCCACGAGUUCUGCACUACUGAAGGAGUUUAAAAUACUGCAGAAAAUUCUGAGGUUCUCUCUCUGGUCUGAUGCUUCCUAAACAGGCCAGGCUGGUUGGCCAGUGUCCUUUGGGGAUCCACACUUCUCUGUCUGCUCAGAAUUAGGUUUGUAAGUAUAUACUGGUACAACUGACUUUUACAUUGUUUCUGGAUAUAUACACUUGAGGCCUCAUGCUUCAUGGUAAGUACUUUAUUGACUUCACCAUCUCCAAAGCUCAAAUUUGUUCUUUUUUAUUAAUCAAGAUGUUAUAGACAGCAUCACAGCACUUAUAUGGAACAUCAUUGUGUCUUAUGCAGUGCAGAUGGCAUCUAGACAGCCUCCUACAAUCCUUUCUUCAUGUGCUUCAAUUAUCAACAUGGAAAGUGUUGAAAAAAUGAGUGGAAACAUCUAUUCUAGCAGCACUGCACACUUAGCCCAUUAAGUCAAGUUUGAUAAUACUCUUUUAGUCCUCAAAUGGCAACAAAGAAGUAUUUUGCUUAUUACAACACCCUGCAUUGAAUGGUUUCUGUCCUUAUUAAGCCCAGGAGUUCUCUCCUCCAUGAUAUUGUCCUACCCCUGGGUUUUUAAAAACAUAUUCUCUUCUAAUAGAAGUGUGCAUAGAGUCUUGGGAAUUUUUUCAAGGAUCUUAACUCUCUAAUAAAAUCUUCACAUUAACCAGCUUGCUUCUGUGCAAUAUACCUAGUUAGCUAAUAAUAUGCAACACUGGUAUAUUAAACCGCAUUUAAAGAUCACUCAUUCAGAGCAAUGCCCUAAUAAUAUUUUUUACUGUGAAAAGGAUUAGCAGUGGAUGGUUGACAGGGUAGAUGAAUAGGUAUUUAGCUUUUCUUAGUAUAAAACAUGAAAGCAAGAGCCAAUGUUCUGCUGGGAGAGUUACUUGAGAGUACCUGUUGUGUAUGCAUUACAGGACAUAGAAGGUAUGAUGUGGUUGGAUCACAGCCUCAAGGCCAGUUCUAUUCAUUGUACUUUAUUUUAUUAUUUUUAAAAGAUUUAUCUAUUUUAUUUUAUGAGUAUUUU
rnacentral:sRNA from 1 species